GAGCCUGUAGCUCAGCUGGUAGAGCAACGGCCUUUUAAGCCGUGGGUCGAGGGUUCGAUCCCCUCCGGGCUCA
rnacentral:tRNA from 1 species